GCCCUGGUAGCUCACCUGGAAGAGCACCAGAACUGUGUACGAUUCCAGAUUGAUUCAUCUGGAGAUGCGGGUUCGAAUCCCGCCCAGGGCG